AGCAGCCUAAUAUGUCAAUCAUCGUCUUUCUGUACUUUUGUUGGAAGGUCAUGACCUAUCAGCCAAUGUAAUUACAAUCCCAGGUAGAGGGGCGGGGCUUAGCUGUAACCUGCAGAGAUCCAGUCAGAGAGACAGAAACGCUAAGUGAACGGACUUUGUGAGGUUUAGUAGGUUGUAGAAGGACAUUGUUAUCCAUUACUGAGGCUGACAACCAGUUAUGCUGUGUUUUGGCAUAUUGAAAUCGACAAGAGAGACGGACAUUUGUGACUGUAAAAGAGAGAGGAUCGGGGAAGCUCCUUUGGACCACACAGAGAGCGAUCUUCCAUCCUGCUGGUGUGAUGUAGACUGCCGCUGCUGUUUUCUGUUCUGCUGAUCUUCCUGCUGUGGUUUACCCGGUGCUCUGCCUGCUGCCAUCGCCAAGUUCGCCUUUAUAUCCCCUUGACUGGGAUUCUGACUCCCCUCAUCCGCUCCAUCUACAACUUCCUGUAAGGGAGAUCACAUUCUCCGAAACAGUGCUGAUCCAGUUCAACUUUUCCCGAGGAGGCUGCGGGGUCAUCCAUUGUUUUGAAAGGUGUCACUUGACUGUCAGCUCUCCAUCGCAGCCCUGCAUGGCAGUCAAGAAAAGAACCUCCUGAACCAUUCCUGCUUAACUCACCUCCACUGGACCUUGCACAUUUUUUUCCAUCUCAACAUCAACAUAGUGAACGAUUUAUAUAUAAAUUGCCCAGCCAUACGUCAGCCCAAACUUACUUUUCCUGACACAUUUAACAUUAACUUGUACAUAAUACAUCCCCAUACACUGGAGUAUCUCAUGAGUACAGAUGCCCAUCAAUACGCUGUUGCAGGAGAGGUAAAUGACACCAAGAUAUGGCAGUUGAAGAAAAACAAAUGUAGAGUAUGUGAUAACGGGACAUGCAAGUCAUCAAUUAUCAACAGUGUUAUUUUUGUGGUGGUUAAGUCUAGAUUGAUCAUGCUAGUAACGUUAACUAGCAAGUUGUUCGUUAAGGGCUGACGGCUGGUUAACGUUACGGACAAAAACUAUUUGUUCCUCGUAUUCUCUUGUGUGUAUCACGUAUCCGUCUCCUCUAGCUGUUGUGGUUGAUAUGACGUAGGUCCCCUAGCUUUGAUCAGACACAAAAAUGGUGACAGCAAAGCACUGUGAUGUCACGUGGUCCUUUAAAUAUAAUUAUAAAUAUAAAAAUAUAAAUAUAUACCAGAAACUAUGCACAAAGGACUACUUGCACCCUAGUGCUGCUGAAUUUUUGAUGUUAUUUAAUAAAUGUCAUGUUUUAUAUCUGUCA